rfam:Pan troglodytes isolate Yerkes chimp pedigree #C0471 (Clint) chromosome 17, whole genome shotgun sequence.
GCCGGGCGCGGUGGCUCACGCCUGUAAUCCCAGCACUUUGGGAGGCUGAGGCGGGGGAAUCACCUGAGGUCGGGAGUUCGAGACCAGCCUGACCAACAUGGAGAAACCCGGUCUCUA